UGAAGUUUCUUCCCUCUAAUUCACGACUUUGUCCUCGCUAACACCGCUCCGUCUCUGCAUUCACUCUCUAGCUCGCUCGACCACUGCUGCUCUCUCUCUCUCCGGGGAGGGGCCAACUUUGAACGCAGUGUUACAAACACCACCUGGAAAAAGUAACAUAUUACUACUAUUACUUUUCACCUUUCAAUCAAUGGCAAAUUGCAGGAUACCUCAUUCUGUUGAUAUAC